rnacentral:rRNA from 2 species
ACAGUUCGAAAGGACUGCUAAUACCGCAUGUGGACUGGGACCUAGAACCCCAGGUCUAAAGCAGCGAUGCGCUUCGGGCGGGGCCUGCGUCCCAUCAGCUAGUUGGUAGGGUAACGGCCUACCAAGGCGACGACGGGUAGGGGACCUGAGAGGGUGAUCCCCCACACUGGCACUGAAACACGGGCCAGACACCUACGGGUGGCAGCAGUAGGGAAUAUUGCACAAUGGGCGCAAGCCUGAUGCAGCAACGCCGCGUGCGCGAUGAAGGCCUUCGGGUUAUAAAGCGCUUUUCUGGAGGAAGAGGAAGGACGGUACUCCAGGAAGAAGGAUCGGCUAACUACGUGCCAGCAGCCGCGGUAACACGUAGGAUCCGAGCGUUAUCCGAAUUUACUGGGCGUAAAGCGCGUGUAGGCGGUUCGGUAAGUUGGACGUGAAAUCUCCCGGCUCAACUGGGAGGGGUCGUUCAAAACUGCCGGGCUGGAGGGCGGUAGAGGGAGGUGGAAUUCCCGGUGUAGUGGUGAAAUGCGUAGAUAUCGGGAGGAACACCAGUGGCGAAAGCGGCCUCCUGGACCGUACCUGACGCUCAGACGCGAAAGCUAGGGGAGCGAACGGGAUUAGAUACCCCGGUAGUCCUAGCCGUAAACGAUGUCGACUGGCCGUGGGUGGGGUAAAAGCCAUCCGUGCCGAAGCCAACGCGAUAAGUCGACCGCCUGGGGACU